UCUGGUGGAUCCUGCCAGUUGUCAUAUUUUUCUCACAAGGGCAAGGCCAUGCAAGUGACAGAAUGCAUGGAAUCGAGAGUGAAUCUGUGAAUGACUGAUUGCACCGGGCGACAAUCUGUUGACAGUGCACUAAUUGCGCGGGGUCUCCGUGUGGCUCCUUGUGACAACAGGGUCCGGACAUUCUCCUCAAGUGGGUGGCUAAUAUAUAUGGACGGUCAGAGCUGCGGCCCCUGUCGGGUCAUUGGUCGUUGGCCGCUGUCAAGACCAGCGCCCUGACAGGGCAGCGUGCCAGGGUGAUUCAAGCCUUCGCCUGUGAGGGCACAGAUGGUUCAGCCCACGUCCCAUUGUUUGAGCCUCUGACCUAUUAGCUCUGGUUGGUGGUAGUGGACCACCAUGGCUGUCACGGGUGACGGGAAAUCAGGGUUUGGUUCUGGAGAGAGGGAGCCUAACAAACGGCUGCCAUUGCCAAGGCGAGCAGCAGGCGCCCAAGUUGUCCACUGCUGACACUGUUUUCAGUGAGACAGCGACAAGCCAUGGCAGCCCUGC
rnacentral:rRNA from 16 species